AUGAACGGCACACCCCAACCCCCUCCAACCGCCGGCCUCCACCCACGAUGGAUCCAGGAUCCUGACGACCAGAUCCGCCAUCCUCUGGAUCUGCACGGCCGCGUUCCAACCUCUAACGGGGACCUCGCGUUCCAGCACCUCGCGCCCCACCCGCAGCUAUGCGCUGUCACCAGUGGGAUGUGGCACCUCCUUCGUCGUCGAGCGAGCGUGCAACUCCUCCAUCAUCCGGGGGCGUGCAGCUCCUCCAGCACCUACCUGGCUUCCCAUGGUCCCCGCCCCUACUUGGCUUCCCCGCCCACGACCCCCAAUCCCCUCCACCUCCAAUCCCCUCUAGAUGGACAGCUUGGGGUCAGCACUGCCGCGACCCCAACCUUCCUCCACUAUUCACUACGGUCCCGUGUAGCAUCACCCUGCCCCCCAUGCAGUUCAGAAAAGGGCCCUUUUACUUCUUUUUUGGAUUUUGGAUAUGCAGCUCGAGCAAGAAGAACAUGCAGCUCUCUAGAAUGUGUGUUGUGGUUCGCCGGCUAA
rnacentral:rRNA from 1 species